rnacentral:rRNA from 1 species
CCCGCUGAACUUAAGCAUAUCAAUAAGCGGAGGAAAAGAAACUAACAAGGAUUCCCCUAGUAACGGCGAGUGAAGCGGGAAGAGCUCAAAUUUAAAAUCUGGCAGUCUUUGGUUGCCCGAAUUGUAAUCUAGAGAAGCGUUUUCCGUGCUGGACUGUGUACACGUUUCCUGGAUACGGAACAUCAUAGAGGGUGAGAAUCCCGUCCUUGACGCAGACCCCCAGUACUUUUGUGAUGCGCUCUCGACGAGUCGAGUUGUUUGGGAUUGCAGCUCAAAAUGGGAGGUAAAUUCCUUCUAAAGCUAAAUAUUGGCGAGAGACCGAUAGCGAACAAGUACCGUGAGGGAAAGAUGAAAAGCACUUUGGAAAGAGAGUUAAACAGUACGUGAAAUUGUUAAAAGGGAAACGCUUGAAGUCAGUCACGUCGUUCAGGAUUCAGCCUUGCUUCUGCUUGGUGUACUUCCUGUUUGACGGGUCAGCAUCAGUUUUGGCCAGUGGAUAAAGGCUCAGAGAAUGUGGCAUCCUCGGAUGUGUUAUAGCUUUGGGUCGCAUACAUUGGCUGGGACUGAGGAACUCAGCACGCCGCAAGGCCAGGUUUCGACCAUGUACGUGCUUAGGAUGCUGGCAUAAUGGCUUUAAUCGACCCGUCUUGAAACACGG